CCGAGAGCUGUCCAUGACUGUGAUUCCUGUUUGACAUUCCAGGGCAUUAGUGAAGGGUUCUGCACAUUUCUUUCCCCAGGGACAAUGUGAAUCCAUCCAAGAGGUGUCGUGGCCCAGCUGGGAAAACAUUUCAGGCCACUGCCUUGACUGUUGGCUAUGGAACUUGCUCAAGGAGCUGCAGGGCCCAGGAAGAUUUUCCUGUGGAGUGCCCCAGGACUGAAAGACCAGAGUGUCCCUGUGGGGGAUCCUUGACCAGAGCAAAAGGGCUAUGAUGUCUUUGGGGUGCUGAGGACACCUUGGAAUGGAAUUGAGGACAUGUCUUUAGGAUUCUAAUUGCAGAAGGAGGCCAAGGAGAGAUCCAGGCCUCCUUGGAGAUCAGUGCCAGUCAGGGGGGUGGCACUGGACAGCCACUGACCACGUGCCAACAGCCCGGGCAGAAGGAGCUGGACAUGCCCAGAGGCUCCCAGUGUGGGCAGAUUGGCCCUGCAGCUUCAGGGACCCCAUGGGAAUGUCCCUGCCCCCCUCGGGGCUGUGGAUGAGCUGUGCAGAAUCUCUCCCUACAGCUCUCAGCAGCAUUUCAGCAAUGAGAUGGACACCGGUGUCAGAAGAGACUGAGAACCAGGAGGCUCCACAGUGUCUCUGAGUGCCCUGUCUCUGAGUGCCCUUGGUUCCAUGAGGCCCCACAGAAUCCCAGGAUGUGCUGUGGCAGUCCCGUUGUCCUGCUCCCUGUGACACCACAGCGGUUGCUGCCUGAGCGUUCCCCUCUCUGUGACACUGCAACUGUGGCAGCAGCACAAGAACAGAAGCAGCAGUCGUGCAACAACAGGGGAGCCGUGGAGGAGCAGAGAUGGAGCUCAGAAUAGCAGGAGAUGAGCAGUGGUGGAGCAGUGGUGGAACAGUGGUGGAGCAGUGUUGGACAAGCAGAGGAACUGUGCUGGAACACCCCCAGAGCAGCACUGGAGCAGCUUUUGAGCAGCAGUGGAGUAACCAUGGAAAAGGUGGAACAGUGGUGGGACAGGAGCCACAGCCAUGAACAGUGGUGGGACAGGAACCACAGCCAUGAACAGUGGUGGCACAGGAACCACAGCCAUGAACAGUGGUGGAACCGGAACCACAGCCAUGUGUGAUACUCACAUGCCCUCUGAGCAGAGAGACAUAAUUCUGUCUCUCAGGUUUUUUCCUGGAGAAGUACAGAGGGAAAACAGUUUUUAUCUCUGCUUGCUGCUCCUGGUAUUCUGCACAAGUGGAAUGUGUUGGGAAGGUUGUUUACCUCAAGGAAUUUGGUCAUUGGAUUCUGGUGGAGAUUUUUUUAUGUUAAUUAGCCCAUCAGGUCCAAGCUGUGCGGACCUGUGGGUCUGCAUACAGUCACAAGUUUUUAGUUAGAAGUAAGUAUUCUUUAGUAUUCUUUGUAGUAUUGUUA